rnacentral:rRNA from 1 species
CCGAGUCUUAACUGGGCGUUAAGUUGCAGGGUAUAGACCCGAAACCCGGUGAUCUAGCCAUGGGCAGGUUGAAGGUUGGGUAACACUAACUGGAGGACCGAACCGACUAAUGUUGAAAAAUUAGCGGAUGACUUGUGGCUGGGGGUGAAAGGCCAAUCAAACCGGGAGAUAGCUGGUUCUCCCCGAAAGCUAUUUAGGUAGCGCCUCGUGAAUUCAUCUUCGGGGGUAGAGCACUGUUUCGGCUAGGGGGUCAUCCCGACUUACCAACCCGAUGCAAACUACGAAUACCGAAGAAUGUUAUCACGGGAGACACACGGCGGGUGCUAACGUCCGUCGUGAAGAGGGAAACAACCCAGACCGCCAGCUAAGGUCCCAAAGUCAUGGUUAAGUGGGAAACGAUGUGGGAAGGCACAGACAGCCAGGAUGUUGGCUUAGAAGCAGCCAUCAUUUAAAGAAAGCGUAAUAGCUCACUGGUCGAGUCGGCCUGCGCGGAAGAUGUAACGGGGCUAAACCAUGCACCGAAGCUGCGGCAGCGACACGAUGUGUUGUUGGGUAGGGGAGCGUUCUGUAAGCCUGCGAAGGUGUGCUGUGAGGC